rnacentral:rRNA from 1 species
ACGCUGGCGGCGUGCCUAAUACAUGCAAGUCGAACGCCUUGUGGUUUUAAUGAAUAGCGUGCUUGCACAAUAUGAUUUAAAACAAUGCAAGGAGUGGCGAACGGGUGAGUAACACGUGGGAAACCUACCUCUUAGCAGGGGAUAACAUUUGGAAACAGAUGCUAAUACCGUAUAAUACUAAAAACCGCAUGGUUUUUAUUUGAAAGAUGGUUCUGCUAUCACUAAGAGAUGGUCCCGCGGUGCAUUAGUUAGAUGGUGAGGUAAUGGCUCACCAUGACGAUGAUGCAUAGCCGAGUUGAGAGACUGAUCGGCCACAAUGGGACUGAGACACGGCCCAUACUCCUACGGGAGGCAGCAGUAGGGAAUCUUCCACAAUGGGCGCAAGCCUGAUGGAGCAACGCCGCGUGUGUGAUGAAGGGUUUCGGCUCGUAAAGCACUGUUGUAAGAGAAGAAUGUACUUGAGAGUAACUGUUCAAGUAGUGACGGUAUCUUACCAGAAAGGGACGGCUAAAUACGUGCCAGCAGCCGCGGUAAUACGUAUGUCCCAAGCGUUAUCCGGAUUUAUUGGGCGUAAAGCGAGCGCAGACGGUUAUUUAAGUCUGAAGUGAAAGCCCUCAGCUCAACUGAGGAAUUGCUUUGGAAACUGGAUGACUUGAGUGCAGUAGAGGAAAGUGGAACUCCAUGUGUAGCGGUGAAAUGCGUAGAUAUAUGGAAGAACACCAGUGGCGAAGGCGGCUUUCUGGACUGUAACUGACGUUGAGGCUCGAAAGUGUGGGUAGCAAAC